rnacentral:rRNA from 1 species
CCUACGGGUGGCAGCAGUGGGGAAUAUUGCGCAAUGGGCGAAAGCCUGACGCAGCGACGCCGCGUGAGGGAUGAAGGUCUUCGGAUCGUAAACCUCUGUCAGCAGGGAAGAACGGUCACUGUGCUAAUCAGCAGUGAAUUGACGGUACCUGCAAAGGAAGCACCGGCUAACUCCGUGCCAGCAGCCGCGGUAAUACGGAGGGUGCGAGCGUUAAUCGGAAUUACUGGGCGUAAAGCGCUCGUAGGCGGUAUGUCAAGUCAAGGGUGAAAUCCCCGCGCUCAACGUGGGAACUGCCUUUGAAACUGGCAAACUGGAGGUUGUGAGAGGAUAGUGGAAUUCCAGGUGUAGGAGUGAAAGCCGUAGAUAUCUGGAGGAACAUCAGUGGCGAAGGCGACUAUCUGGCACAUAACUGACGCUGAGGAGCGAAAGCGUGGGUAGCAAACAGGAUUAGAUACCCCGGUAGUC